AUUGAACGCUGGCGGCAGGCCUAACACAUGCAAGUCGAACGAGUGGCGGACGGGUGAGUCAUGUCUGGGAAACUGCCUGGUGGAUGGGGAUAACUACUGGAAACGGUAGCUAAUACCGCAUACCAUCAGAUGUGCCCAGAUGGGUUUAGCUUGUUGGUGGGGUAUCGGCUCACCAAGGCCACGAUCCAUAGCUGGUCUGAGAGGAUGCACGGCCACACUGGAACUGAGACACGGACCAGACUCCCACGGGAGGCAGCAGUGGGGAAUAUUGCAGAAUGGGCGUAAGCAUGAUGCAGCCAUGCCGCGUGUAUGAAGAAGGACUUCGGGGUGUAAAGGUCUUUCAGAGGGGAGGCGUUACCCGCAGAAGAAGCACCGGCUAACUCCGUGCCAGCAGCAGCGGUAAUAC
rnacentral:rRNA from 1 species